UACACAUGCAAGUCGAACGGCAGCACGGGUGCUUGCACUGGUGGCGAGUGGCGAACGGGUGAGUAAUACAUCGGAACAUGUCCUGUAGUGGGGGAUAGCCCGGCGAAAGCCGGAUUAAUACCGCAUACGAUCUAUGGAUGAAAGCGGGGGACCUUCGGGCCUCGCGCUAUAGGGUUGGCCGAUGGCUGAUAGCUAGUUGGUGGGGUAAAGGCCUACCAAGGCGACGAUCAGUAGCUGGUCUGAGAGGACGACCAGCCACACUGGGACUGAGACACGGCCCAGACUCCUACGGGAGGCAGCAGUGGGGAAUUUUGGACAAUGGGCGAAAGCCUGAUCCAGCAAUGCCGCGUGUGUGAAGAAGGCCUUCGGGUUGUAAAGCACUUUUGUCCGGAAAGAAAUCCUUGGCUCUAAUACAGUCGGGGGAUGACGGUACCGGAAGAAUAAGCACCGGCUAACUACGUGCCAGCAGCCGCGGUAAUACGUAGGGUGCAAGCGUUAAUCGGAAUUACUGGGCGUAAAGCGUGCGCAGGCGGUUUGCUAAGACCGAUGUGAAAUCCCCGGGCUCAACCUGGGAACUGCAUUGGUGACUGGCAGGCUAGAGUAUGGCAGAGGGGGGUAGAAUUCCACGUGUAGCAGUGAAAUGCGUAGAGAUGUGGAGGAAUACCGAUGGCGAAGGCAGCCCCCUGGGCCAAUACUGACGCUCAUGCACGAAAGCGUGGGGAGCAAACAGGAUUAGAUACCCUGGUAGUCCACGCCCUAAACGAUGUCAACUAGUUGUUGGGGAUUCAUUUCCUUAGUAACGUAGCUAACGCGUGAAGUUGACCGCCUGGGGAGUACGGUCGCAAGAUUAAAACUCAAAGGAAUUGACGGGGACCCGCACAAGCGGUGGAUGAUGUGGAUUAAUUCGAUGCAACGCGAAAAACCUUACCUACCCUUGACAUGGUCGGAAUCCUGAAGAGAUUCGGGAGUGCUCGAAAGAGAACCGGCGCACA
rnacentral:rRNA from 1 species